rnacentral:rRNA from 1 species
UGGAGCUGAAAUCAGUCGAAGAUACCAGCUGGCUGCAACUGUUUAUUAAAAACACAGCACUGUGCAAACACGAAAGUGGACGUAUACGGUGUGACGCCUGCCCGGUGCCGGAAGGUUAAUUGAUGGGGUUAGCGCAAGCGAAGCUCUUGAUCGAAGCCCCGGUAAACGGCGGCCGUAACUAUAACGGUCCUAAGGUAGCGAAAUUCCUUGUCGGGUAAGUUCCGACCUGCACGAAUGGCGUAAUGAUGGCCAGGCUGUCUCCACCCGAGACUCAGUGAAAUUGAACUCGCUGUGAAGAUGCAGUGUACCCGCGGCAAGACGGAAAGACCCCGUGAACCUUUACUAUAGCUUGACACUGAACAUUGAGCCUUGAUGUGUAGGAUAGGUGGGAGGCUUUGAAGUGUGGACGCCAGUCUGCAUGGAGCCGACCUUGAAAUACCACCCUUUAAUGUUUGAUGUUCUAACGUUGACCCGUAAUCCGGGUUGCGGACAGUGUCUGGUGGGUAGUUUGACUGGGGCGGUCUCCUCCUAAAGAGUAACGGAGGAGCACGAAGGUUGGCUAAUCCUGGUCGGACAUCAGGAGGUUAGUGCAAUGGCAUAAGCCAGCUUGACUGCGAGCGUGACGGCGCGAGCAGGUGCGAAAGCAGGUCAUAGUGAUCCGGUGGUUCUGAAUGGAAGGGCCAUCGCUCAACGGAUAAAAGGUACUCCGGGGAUAACAGGCUGAUACCGCCCAAGAGUUCAUAUCGACGGCGGUGUUUGGCACCUCGAUGUCGGCUCAUCACAUCCUGGGGCUGAAGUAGGUCCCAAGGGUAUGGCUGUUUGCCAUUUAAAGUGGUACGCGAGCUGGGUUUAGAACGUCGUGAGACAGUUCGGUCCCUAUCUGCCGUGGGCGCUGGAGAACUGAGGGGGGCUGCUCCUAGUACGAGAGGACCGGAGUGGACGCAUCACUGGUGUUCGGGUUGUCAUGCCAAUGGCACUGCCCGGUAGCUAAAUGCGGAAGAGAUAAGUGCUGAAAGCAUCUAAGCACGAAACUUGCCCCGAGAUGAGUUCUCCCUGACUCCUUGAGAGUCCUGAAGGAACGUUGAAGACGACGACGUUGAUAGGCCGGGUGUGUAAGCGCAGCGAUGCGUUGAGCUAACCGGUACUAAUGAACCGUGAGGCUUAACCUU